CUAUAACGGUCCUAAGGUAGCGAAAUUCCUUGUCGGGUAAGUUCCGACCUGCACGAAUGGCGUAACGAUAGCCACACUGUCUCCACCCGAGACUCCGUGAAAUUGAACUCGCUGUGAAGAUGCAGCGUACCCGCGGCAAGACGGAAAGACCCCGUGAACCUUUACUACAGCUUUGCACUGGACUUUGAGUCUUCCUGUGUAGGAUAGGUGGGAGGCCGUGAAGCCCCGACGCCAGUCGGGGUGGAGCCGACCUUGAAAUACCACCCUGGAAUACUCGAGGUUCUAACCUCGGACCCGCAGCGGGUUCAGGGACCGUGCAUGGUGGGUAGUUUGACUGGGGCGGUCUCCUCCCAAAGCGUAACGGAGGAGCGCGACGGUGCCCUCAGCGCGGUCGGAAAUCGCGCACGGCGUGCAAAGGCGAAAGGGCGCUUGACUGCGAGACCGACACGUCGAGCAGGUGCGAAAGCAGGUCUUAGUGAUCCGGUGGUUCCGUAUGGAAGGGCCAUCGCUCAACGGAUAAAAGGUACUCCGGGGAUAACAGGCUGAUACCGCCCAAGAGUCCAUAUCGACGGCGGUGUUUGGCACCUCGAUGUCGGCUCAUCACAUCCUGGGGCUGUAGUCGGUCCCAAGGGUAUGGCUGUUCGCCAUUUAAAGUGGUACGCGAGCUGGGUUUAGAACGUCGUGAGACAGUUCGGUCCCUAUCUGCCGUGGGCGUUGGAGAUUUGCGGGGCGCUGUUCCCAGUACGAGAGGACCGGAAUGGACGGACCCCUGGUGCACCGGUUGUCCUGCCAAGGGCACAGCCGGGUAGCUACGUCCGGACGGGAUAACCGCUGAAAGCAUCUAAGCGGGAAGCCCCCCCCAAGAUCAGAUCUCCCGAGUCCCGUGCGACUCCUCAAGGUCCGUGGCAGACCACCACGUGGAUAGGCGGGCGGUGGACGCGCCGCAAGGCGUGCAGCCGACCCGUACUAAUCGACCGUGCGGCUUGACCCG
rnacentral:rRNA from 1 species